rnacentral:rRNA from 1 species
AAAAACCAAUCGGGUCUAAAAGCCCGCUCUUUGGUGAAUCUGAAUAACUUUGCCGAUCGCACGGUCCUAGUACCGGCGACGUAUCUUUCAAGUGUCUGCCUUAUCAACUUUCGAUGGUAGGUUAUACGCCUACCAUGGUAGUAACGGGUAACGGAGAAUAAGGGUUCGACUCCGGAGAGGGAGCCUGAGAAACGGCUACCACAUCCAAGGAAGGCAGCAGGCGCGCAAAUUACCCACUUCCAGAACGGAGAGGUAGUGACGAAAAAUAACGAGACAGUCCUCUUCGAGGUCUGUCAUCGGAAUGGGUACAAUUUAAAUCCUUUAACGAGGAUCUAUUGGAGGGCAAGUCUGGUGCCAGCAGCCGCGGUAAUUCCAGCUCCAAUAGCGUAUAUUAAAGUUGUUGCGGUUAAAACGCUCGUAGUUGGAUCUGCGGCCUGGGAGAACGGUCCCCCGAAAGGGUGGUAACUGUUACUCUUAGCCUAAAAUUUUAGUCUACUCUACGGUGCCCUUAACCGGGUGCUUAGAGUGACUAGAACGUUUACUUUGAAAAAAUUAGAGUGCUUAAAGCAGGCGAAUUCGCCUGAAUAAGGUGCAUGGAAUAAUGGAAUAGGACCUCGGUUCUAUUUUGUUGGUUUUCGGAGCCCGAGGUAAUGAUUAAGAGGAACAGACGGGGGCAUUCGUAUUCCGGCGCUAGAGGUGAAAUUCUUGGACCGCCGGAAGACGGACGACUGCGAAAGCAUUUGCCAAGAAUGUUUUCAUUAAUCAAGAACGAAAGUUAGAGGUUCGAAGGCGAUCAGAUACCGCCCUAGUUCUAACCGUAAACGAUGACAACCAGCGAUUAGUCGGCGUUAAUAUAUUUGUUGGUUUUCGGAGCCCGAGGUAAUGAUUAAGAGGAACAGACGGGGGCAUUCGUAUUCCGGCGCUAGAGGUGAAAUUCUUGGACCGCCGGAAGACGGACGACUGCGAAAGCAUUUGCCAAGAAUGUUUUCAUUAAUCAAGAACGAAAGUUAGAGGUUCGAAGGCGAUCAGAUACCGCCCUAGUUCUAACCGUAAACGAUGACAACCAGCGAUUAGUCGGCGUUAAUAUAUGACCCGACUAGCAGCUUCCGGGAAACCAAAGUUUUUCGUUUCCGGGGGAAGUAUGGUUGCAAAGCUGAAACUUAAAGGAAUUGACGGAAGGGCACCACCAGGAGUGGAGCCUGCGGCUUAAUUUGACUCAACACGGGAAAACUCACCCGGCCCGGACACCGUAAGGAUUGACAGACUGAGAGCUCUUUCUUAAUUCGGUGGGUGGUGGUGCAUGGCCGUUCUUAGUUGGUGGAGCGAUUUGUCUGGUUAAUUCCGAUAACGAACGAGACUCUGGCCUAUUAAAUAGCCGGUAUAUAUUGAAAAGUUUACCGCGCUUCUUAGAGGGACAACCGGCGUCUAGCCGCGUGAAAUAGAGCAAUAACAGGUCUGUGAUGCCCUUAGAUGUCCGGGGCUGCACGCGCGCUACACUGAAAGAAUCAGUAUGCGCUUACGCCUAGUUCGGAAGAACCGGGUAACCCUAGCAAAUUCUUUCGUGCUUGGGAUAGGGAAUUGCAAUUAUUUCCCUUAAACGAGGAAUUCCCAGUAAAUGCGGGUCAUAAGCUCGCGUUGAUUACGUCCCUGCCCUUUGUACACACCGCCCGUCGCUACUACCGAUUGGAUGACUUAGUGAGGUCUUAGGACCGAGGUAAAGGAGCCUUCGUUAGUUCUUAUGCCUGGAAAAGGAUCGACCUACGUAUAUAGAGAACACUCAGUAGAGUCAGGUUGC